UACGGGGGGGGGCAAGCGUUGUUCGGAAUUACUGGGCGUAAAGGGCUCGUAGGCGGCCAACUAAGUCAGACGUGAAAUCCCCAGGCUCAACCUGGGAACUGCGUCUGAUACUGGAUGGCUUGAAUCCGGGAGAGGGAUGCAGAAUUCCAGGUGUAGCGGUGAAAUGCGCAGAUAUCAGGAGGAACACCGGUGGCGAAGGCGGUUCUCUGGGCAUUACCUGACGCUGAGGAGCGAAAGUGUGGGGGAGCGAACAGG
rnacentral:rRNA from 1 species